UGCAGUCGAACGAGACGGGAUGGAAUGACCCUUCGGGGGAAUGAAAUCCUAGAAAGUGGCGAACGGGUGAGUAACGCGUAGGCAAUCUGCCUUCUAGAUGGGGACAACAUCCCGAAAGGGGUGCUAAUACCGAAUGUUGUAAUUGGUUCGCAUGGACUAGCUACUAAAGGUGGCCUCUGAAUAUGCUACCGCUAGAAGAUGAGCCUGCGUCUGAUUAGCUAGUUGGAGGGGUAACGGCCCACCAAGGCUUCGAUCAGUAGCCGGUCUGAGAGGAUGAACGGCCACACUGGGACUGAGACACGGCCCAGACUCCUACGGGAGGCAGCAGUGGGGAAUCUUCCGCAAUGGACGAAAGUCUGACGGAGCAACGCCGCGUGAGUGAAGAAGGUUUUCGGAUCGUAAAGCUCUUUCGUUAGGGACGAACGUGCUCUUUGUGAAUAAUGAGGAGUAAUGACGGUACCUAAAUAAGAAGCCACGGCUAACUACGUGCCAGCAGCCGCGGUAAUACGUAGGUGGCAAGCGUUGUCCGGAAUUAUUGGGCGUAAAGCGCGCGCAGGCGGGAUAUCAAGUCUGUCUUAAAAGUGCGAGGCUCAACCUCGUGAGGGGACGGAAACUGGUAUUCUUGAGUGUCGG
rnacentral:rRNA from 1 species